GAGGGAAAGGUGAAAAGCACCCCGGAAGGGGAGUGAAACAGAUCCUGAAACCGUAUGCCUACAAGUAGUCAGAGCCCGUUCACGGGUGAUGGCGUGCCUUUUGUAGAAUGAACCGGCGAGUUACGAUGGCGGGCGAGGUUAAGCCGAUGAGGCGGAGCCGCAGCGAAAGCGAGUCUGAACAGGGCGCAUCAGUCCGUCGUCGUAGACCCGAAACCAGGUGAUCUACCCAUGUCCAGGAUGAAGGUCAGGUAACACUGACUGGAGGUCCGAACCCACGCACGUUGAAAAGUGCGGGGAUGAGGUGUGGGUAGCGGUGAAAUGCCAAUCGAACCUGGAGAUAGCUGGUUCUCUCCGAAAUAGCUUUAGGGCUAGCCUCGAGGUGAAGAGUUCUGGAGGUAGAGCACUGAUUGGACUAGGGGCCCCCACAGGGUUACCGAAUUCAGUCAAACUCCGAAUGCCAGCAACUUGUACUCGGGAGUCAGACUGCGAGUGAUAAGAUCCGUAGUCGAGAGGGAAACAGCCCAGACCAUCAGCUAAGGUCCCCAAGUGUAUGUUAAGUGGAAAAGGAUGUGGCGCUGCACAGACAACUAGGAUGUUGGCUUAGAAGCAGCCACCAUUCAAAGAGUGCGUAAUAGCUCACUAGUCGAGUGGCGCCGCGCCGAAAAUGUAACGGGGCUAAACAUACCACCGAAGCUAUGGAUCCCGUAAGGGAUGGUAGGAGAGCGUUCCAAGCAGCAGUGAAGCGGUAUCGUGAGGAGCCGUGGAGCGCUUGGAAGUGAGAAUGCCGGUGUGAGUAGCGAAAAGAGGGGUGAGAAUCCCCUCCGUCGAAAGCCUAAGGUUUCCUGAGGAAGGCUCGUCCGCUCAGGGUUAGUCUGGACCUAAGCCGAGGCCGAAAGGCGUAGGCGAUGGACAACAGGUCGAUAUUCCUGUACCGCCGUACCACCGUUUGAACGAUGGGGGGACGCAGAAGGAUAAGGUGACCGUGCGACUGGAAGUGCACGGACAAGCAGCGAGGCCGUCGGGUUGGCAAAUCCGCCCGGCACAAGGUUGAGCUGUGACGUGGAGCCCGUAGGGCGAAGCACCGGAUUUCACGCUGCCAAGAAAAGCCUCUAGUGAGGAGGUCGGCGCCAGUACCGCAAACCGACACAGGUAGGCGAGAUGAGAAUUCUAAGACGCGCGGGAUAACUCUCGUUAAGGAACUCGGCAAAAUGGUCCCGUAACUUCGGGAGAAGGGACGCUUAUGGCAACAUAAGCCGCAGUGAAUAGGCCCAAACGACUGUUUAGCAAAAACACAGGUCUCUGCUAAAUCGCAAGAUGAAGUAUAGGGGCUGACGCCUGCCCGGUGCUGGAAGGUUAAGGGGAUGUGUCAUCGCAAGAGAAGCACUGAACCGAAGCCCCAGUAAACGGCGGCCGUAACUAUAACGGUCCUAAGGUAGCGAAAUUCCUUGUCGGGUAAGUUCCGACCCGCACGAAAGGCGUAACGAUUUGGGCACUGUCUCAACGAGAGACCCGGUGAAAUCAUAGUACCUGUGAAGAUGCAGGUUACCCGCGACAGGACGGAAAGACCCCAUGGAGCUUUACUACAGCCUGAUAUUGAGGCUUUGUACGCGAUGUACAGGAUAGGUGGGAGUUUGUGAAGCCGGAGCGCCAGCUUCGGUGGAGACACCCUUGGGAUACCACCCUUUGCGUAUAGAGUCUCUAACUCGCAGCCGUGAUCCGGCUGGAGGACCGUGUCAGGCGGGUAGUUUGACUGGGGCGGUCGCCUCCUAAACAGUAACGGAGGCGCCCAAAGGUUCCCUCAGAAUGGUUGGAAAUCAUUCGAAGAGUGCAAAGGCAGAAGGGAGCUUGACUGCGAGACCUACAAGUCGAGCAGGGACGAAAGUCGGGCUUAGUGAUCCGGUGGUUCCGCAUGGAAGGGCCAUCGCUCAACGGAUAAAAGCUACCCUGGGGAUAACAGGCUGAUCUCCCCCAAGAGUCCACAUCGACGGGGAGGUUUGGCACCUCGAUGUCGGCUCAUCGCAUCCUGGGGCUGGAGUAGGUCCCAAGGGUUGGGCUGUUCGCCCAUUAAAGCGGUACGCGAGCUGGGUUCAGAACGUCGUGAGACAGUUCGGUCCCUAUCCGUCGUGGGCGCAGGAAAUUUGAGGAGAGCUGUCCUUAGUACGAGAGGACCGGGAUGGACGCACCGCUGGUGUACCAGUUGUUCCGCCAGGAGCAUCGCUGGGUAGCUACGUGCGGACGGGAUAAGUGCUGAAAGCAUCUAAGCAUGAAGCCCCCUCCGAGAUGAGAUUUCCCUUUGA
rnacentral:rRNA from 1 species